GCUACAAGUUCGGUUAUCGCUUCGAUUAUUCGAAGAGGAAAGUCUGGACAGCAAAGAGUAAUGCACCGGUGAAGAGCCGGGUCCGCUUUGGCGGAACAGAGAGUGCCGCAGAAAAUAACUAUCUCGAGCAAUCGGGAAAAAGGUGAAAACGUGAGGUAAGAGCUCACGAGUUUUAAUGGCAACAUUAAAAUUGGGUAAACCUUGCAUGCUGAAAUGCCAUGUAAACCAACGCUAAGAGCUGCUCGCUCGAUGUUGGAGGGUAGGCAGAUGGAUUUUGCGAAGUAAUUUGCAGAACAGAUAAAUGAUGACCACCGUUUUAUCGGUUACAGAAUCCGGCUUAUGAAUUUGUAGCUUUU
rnacentral:RNase_P_RNA from 1 species